AUAUUGGUCAAUAGCCUAACGGCUGAACCAGCAACUUGGAGGAAUGAACGGCAAUAGCUGGUUGCACUAACAAUAACUUAGUGCAAAAUUGACUCUGUCGAAUAAAAUUCUAGGUAGAAGUAUGAUAAUGACAUUAUCUAUCUAUGUGUCUUGACCAAAUUACGUGCCAGCAGUCGCGGUAAUACGUAAAAGACUAGUGUUAUUCAUCUUUAAUAGGUUUAAAGGGUACUUAGACGGUAGAUCAAGCCCAAAAAGGGAACUAAUUUACUAGAGUUUGAUGUAAGGAAGUAUAAAAGUACUGUUGGUGUAGAGAUAAAAUUCUAUCAUACCAAAUAUGGCACAGGUUUAGGCGAAAGCAUCUUCUUAUGUAAUAACUGACGUUGAAGGACGAAGGCUUUGUGUCUCGAACAGGAUUAGAUACCCCAGUAGUCUAAGCAGACAAUGAUGAAUGUCAUAGAUUAGAUUUAAUUUAUUCUAUAAAUGAAAGUGUAAGCAUUCCACCUCAAGAGUAAUUUGGCAACAUUGGAAUUGAAAUCAUUAGACCGUUUCUGAAACCAGUAGUGAAGUAUGUUAUUUAAUUCGAUAAUCCGCCA
rnacentral:rRNA from 1 species